CUCAGGACGAACGCUGGCGGCGUGCCUAAUACAUGCAAGUCGAGCGAACCACUUCGGUGGUUAGCGGCGGACGGGUGAGUAACACGUGGGCAACCUGCCUGUAAGACUGGGAUAACUUCGGGAAACCGGAGCUAAUACCGGAUAAUCCUUUUCCUCUCAUGAGGAAAAGCUGAAAGACGGUUUCGGCUGUCACUUACAGAUGGGCCCGCGGCGCAUUAGCUAGUUGGUGAGGUAACGGCUCACCAAGGCGACGAUGCGUAGCCGACCUGAGAGGGUGAUCGGCCACACUGGGACUGAGACACGGCCCAGACUCCUACGGGAGGCAGCAGUAGGGAAUCUUCCACAAUGGACGAAAGUCUGAUGGAGCAACGCCGCGUGAGCGAUGAAGGCCUUCGGGUCGUAAAGCUCUGUUGUUAGGGAAG
rnacentral:rRNA from 1 species